GUCAGAGGGGGCAAGCGUUGCUCGGAAUCACUGGGCGUAAAGGGCGCGUAGGCGGGAGGGCAAGUCAGUCGUGAAAUCUCUCGGCUCAACCGAGAAACGUCGGCUGAUACUGCCGUUCUUGAGGGAUGCAGAGGAGACUGGAAUUCCCGGUGUAGCGGUGAAAUGUGUAGAGAUCGGGAGGAACACCGGUGGCGAAGGCGGGUCUCUGGGCAUCUCCUGACGCUGAGGCGCGAAAGCGUGGGGAGCAAACGGG
rnacentral:rRNA from 1 species